UACGUAGGUGGCAAGCGUUGUCCGGAAUUAUUGGGCGUAAAGCGCGCGCAGGCGGUCCUUUAAGUCUGAUGUGAAAGCCCCCGGCUCAACUGGGGAGGGUCAUUCGAUACUGAUCGACUCGAAGGCAGGAGAGGGAAGCGGAAUUCCCGGUGUAGUGGUGAAAUGCGUAGAUAUCGGGAGGAACACCAGUGGCGAAGGCGGCUUCCUGGCCUGUUCUUGACGCUGAGGCGCGAAAGCUAGGGGAGCGAACGGG
rnacentral:rRNA from 1 species